GUGGGGAAUCUUCCGCAAUGGACGAAAGUCUGACGGAGCGACGCCGCGUGAGUGAAGAAGGCCUUCGGGUCGUAAAGCUCUGUCAUCAGGGACGAACGGCCGGUGGAGUGGAAAGCCACCGGAUUGACGGUACCUGAGAAGGAAGCCACGGCUAACUACGUGCCAGCAGCCGCGGUAAUACGUAGGUGGCAAGCGUUGUCCGGAAUUAUUGGGCGUAAAGCGCGCGCAGGUGGGAUCUUAAGUCCAUUUUUAAAGUUCGGAGCUCAACUCCGUGAUGGGAUGGAAACUGGGAUUCUUGAGUACCGGAGAGGAAAGCGGAAUUCCCCGUGUAGCGGUGAAAUGCGUAGAUAUGGGGAGGAACACCAGUGGCGAAGGCGGCUUUCUGGACGGUGUCUGACACUGAGGCGCGAAAGCCAGGGGAGCGAACGGGAUUAGAUACCACUGUAGUCC
rnacentral:rRNA from 1 species